rnacentral:rRNA from 1 species
GCCACGCCCGCUCAAGAAACUCAAAGGAAUUGACGGGGCCCGCACAAGCGGUGGAGUAUGUGGUUUAAUUCGAUGCAACGCGAAGAACCUUACCUGGUCUUGACAUCCCGGAGACCCUUAGGAAACUAGGGGGUGCUUCCAUCUGGAAGAAUCUGGAGACAGGUGCUGCAUGGCUGUCGUCAGCUCGUGUCGUGAGAUGUUGGGUUAAGUCCCGCAACGAGCGCAACCCUUGCCUUUAGUUGCCAGCAGUUCGGCUGGGCACUCUAAAGGGACUGCCGGUGUUAAACCGGAGGAAGGUGGGGAUGACGUCAAGUCCUCAUGGCCUUUAUGACCAGGGCUACACACGUACUACAAUGGCCGAUACAAAGGGCAGCGACACUGCGAGGUGAAGCCAAUCCCGUAAAAUCGGUCUCAGUCCGGAUUGGAGUCUGCAACUCGACUCCAUGAAGUUGGAAUCGCUAGUAAUCGUGGAUCAGCAUGCCACGGUGAAUACGUUCCCGGGCCUU